rnacentral:tRNA from 1 species
GUAGUUGCGGCUCAGUGAUAAGAGUGCUUGCCUAACAUGUGUGAGGUACUGGGUUCGAUCCUCAGCAUCACA